rnacentral:tRNA from 1 species
GGGGAUUUAGCUCAGUGGUAGAGCGCUUGCCUAGCAAGCGCAAGGCCUUUGGUUCAGUCCCCA